ACGGAAGGCAGCAGUGAGGAAUAUUGGUCAAUGGGCGGAAGCCUGAACCAGCCAAGUCGCGUGAAGGAUGAAGGUAUUAUGUAUUGUAAACUUCUUUAGCAGCAGAGUAAUAAGGGGGUCGUGACCCCCGAUGCAGGUAUGCUGAAAAUAAGGAUCGGCUAACUCCGUGCCAGCAGCCGCGGUAAUACGGAGGAUCCGAGCGUUAUCCGGAUUUAUUGGGUUUAAAGGGUGCGCAGGCGGUUUUUUAAGUCAGUGGUUAAAUCGUGAGGCUCAACCUCAUCACGCCAUUGAUACUGGAAGACUUGAUUGCGGUUGAGGUUGGCGGAAUUCGUCGUGUAGCGGUGAAAUGCAUAGAUAUGACGAAGAACACCGAUUGCGUAGGCAGCUGACCAAGCCGUAAAUGACGCUCAUGCACGAAAGUGCGGGGAUCGAACAGGAUUAGAUACCCUGGUA
rnacentral:rRNA from 1 species